UACGUAGGGUGCGAGCGUUAAUCGGAAUACUGGGCGUAAAGCGUGCGCAGGCGGUUUUGUAAGUCUGUCGUGAAAUCCCCGGGCUCAACCUGGGAAUGGCGAUGGAGACUGCAAGGCUAGAGUUUGGCAGAGGGGGUAGAAUUCCACGUGUAGCAGUGAAAUGCGUAGAUAUGUGGAGGAACACCGAUGGCGAAGGCAGCCCCCUGGGUCAAAACUGACGCUCAUGCACGAAAGCGUGGGGAGCAAACAGG
rnacentral:rRNA from 1 species